GUCUCCUACGGGACGCAGCAGUGAGGAAUAUUGGUCAAUGGACGCAAGUCUGAACCAGCCAAGUAGCGUGCAGGAUGACGGCCCUCCGGGUUGUAAACUGCUUUUAGUUGGGAAUAAAAGGGGGCUCGUGAGCCCCGUAUUGUAUGUACCAUCAGAAAAAGGACCGGCUAAUUCCGUGCCAGCAGCCGCGGUAAUACGGAAGGUCCGGGCGUUAUCCGGAUUUAUUGGGUUUAAAGGGAGCGUAGGCCGGCUUUUAAGUCAGCUGUGAAAGUCCGCGGCUCAACCGCAAAAUUGCAAUUGAUACU
rnacentral:rRNA from 1 species